rnacentral:lncRNA from 1 species
AUUUAAUACAUUUUAGAAUAAGGCUGUAACGUAAAACAAAAUGUGGAAAAAGGGAAGAUGUCUAAGUACUUUCCGAAUGCACUGUAAAUCCAAAUUAUACAAAGGGUUGUAACGGCUGCACAGAGUGGGUCUUUAAUGACUCAUUAACUUGACCUCUCUCUUUUAGGUUUUGACAUGAGCAGGCAUAAUUACUAAAUUAAAUGACUCAUUGAUUGAAAUGCCUUUAUAAAUUCCACGUAGCCUUUCAUCGUCCACAGAAUAUAAUUGAAGGUCAUGUCUGACAUCUCCUUUGUUUGCUUGCUUCCUUUCUUCUGGAAUAAAUCCCUCAGAGGGUGUCGAUAGGGGCGUAGAUCGACUGAAGAAGACAAGAAGUGAUUCAGCAGUCAUUGGAGGUCUCAUCACAGCUGUGUUCCUCAUCACCCUCUGUGCCGUGGCUGUGACGUCGUGCUUCCUGUACCGCCGCUGCAGCCACAGCCACACCCACACCCAACCCCAGGAGAAGGCCUCCAUCUCACAGAAGAAGGAUUCCAGACACAGCCCGGAACACAGCUACCCUGCAGGCCUGGAGAACAGCUAUCCUGUAGACUUGGUCUUGGAUCUAAACCUGGACCUGCACAGCUCUGUGAGUCACAGCAGAAAGGAGUACUACAUCUGAUGCCACCAUAGCCUUCUUUGCCCAAAUUCCUGCCUCCUGUUCCACACUCUGUUCUGCCUGGCCUCAAAUACAGAACAGGCCCCUCUGGGUAGAGCAGCCAUUCAUCACAAAACCCAGUGUUAAGUCACCUGACUGUUCCCGGGCUAUCUAGGAGCAGUGAUCAUUGGUGAUCCAUUCCCUGUGUGGCUACAAGAAUGACCCAAUGGAGGAUGGUCAUGCCACAGUGUUAUAUCUCAAAGGCUGUUUAUUGGAGCAUGGGAGCUGUACCUCUUGAUGAGCGAUGACAAUUGGAGAACAUUUAUUGUGUAUCUACUUCCUAUUACAUUGCUCUAAAGUCAGGAGACAAAAAGCCUCAAUGAAUCGGAUCCACCCCAGUGACUUUAUAAGCCCGCUUUAUAUAGGCUUCCAUUCUGAAUGUACAAUUAAAGGGAUUUAUUCAUUUGGGGUUGGUUGGGCACCGGUACUCUAACUCACUUACUUGUAUUCACUUGUGGAUCAUGAACGUGAUAAUGACUAAUUAAUGAUGUUCGACCAUCUGCCAAGGCAAGGUCUGGGAAAGCAAUGCACCUGCUCUUGCUCCCUGGCUAACUGAUCAAAUCUCACUGAAAAGCAUUGUGACUAUGUGCCAAGGUCUUUGUGGCUGGCCCCUUUUGUUCUCGGAACACGUCGUUUCUUUUUCUGUUCCCAGUAUGUUUGUUGCGAACCUCACUGCCAAUAACCCUCGCCCACCAUCACCGACAUCCCCUCGACAUGUUAUGCUUUUAUGAAUCACCAAAGGGUGGUGCCGUAAACUGAUACUAGAUGUCUGAAAGUCCAAACGUAGUACGGUACAACGUUAUGUGAUUGUGCUAGUAACUUUUGAAGUGAAUUGUCUCUCGACCUGUAGGAGAUAAUCAGAGGGAAUCUAGGGUAUAAAGGUAGGUUCAUUCUCAGGAGAGCUCUUGUCCUGGUUGAUGUUGUGAGUUUUGUUGAACAGAGAAGUACAGUGUUGUACAAAUUUGC